rnacentral:rRNA from 1 species
UACGGAAGGCAGCAGUGGGGAAUAUUGCACAAUGGGCGAAAGCCUGAUGCAGCUAUGCCGCGUGUAUGAAGAAGGCCUUAGGGUUGUAAAGUACUUUCAUCGGGGAGGAAAAAACAAAACUAAUAAUUUUAUUUCUUGACGUUACCCGAAAAAGAAGCACCGGCUAACUCCGUGCCAGCAGCCGCGGUAAUACGGAGGGUGCUAGCGUUAAUCAGAAUUACUGGGCGUAAAGAGCACGUAGGUUGGUUUUUUAAGUCAGAUGUGAAAUCCCUGGGCUUAACCUAGGAACUGCAUUUUGAAACUGAAAUACUAGAGUAUCGUAGAGGGAGGUAGAAUUCUAGGUGUAGCGGUGAAAUGCGUAGAUAUCUGGAGGAAUACCUGUGGCGAAAGCGGCCUCCUAAACGAAUACUGACACUGAGGUGCGAAAGCGUGGGGAGCAAACAGGGAUUGAAUCC